rnacentral:rRNA from 1 species
GACGAACGCUGGCGGCGUGCCUAAUACAUGCAAGUCGAACGCAGUGGGGACGGGUGAGUAACCUGUGGGUAACCUCCCAUCAGAGGGGAUAACACUUGGAAAAAGGUGCUAAACCGAUACUGAUGGAUGGACCCGCGGUGCAUUAGCUAGUUGGUGAGGUAACGGCGAACCAAGGCCACGAUGCAUAGCCGACCGGAGAGGGUGAUCGGCCACACGGGGACUGAGACACGGCCCAGACGCCUACGGGAGGCAGCAGUGGGGAAUAUUCGGCAAUGGGCGAAAGGCUGACCUAGCAACGCCGCGUGAAGGAAGAAGGUUUUCGGAUCGUAAAACACGGUUGUUAGGGAGGCGGUAUCUAACCAGAAAGCCACGGCUAACUACGUGCCAGCAGCCGCGGUAAUAC